AGCUGGCUUGAGUGUAGUGAUCAUUUACAACUAAUCGAUUAAACCAGUUAUAGAUUUCUUUGUUUCUCCACUUCUGCUUCACUUAAUCAGUCUUAA
ensembl:misc_RNA Y_RNA Y RNA